UAGCGUAGAUUUUGUAGUCCUAGUGUUACCUUUAACUAAUACUCAGGUGACCGAUUAUGCCUGCGAGUCUCCCCUUUAUAUUUUGUCAUGAAACUGAUAGAGUUAGUUUGCCUGGCAAAAUUAUCUUUAAAAAAAUACUUAGGAUUUUUAACUUGAACAAAAUUUCACCUGUCCAAUUCCUGGUCAUUCCAGCACUCAUUUUUACUUUGGUUUUUCAGCUUCCUGAGCCUAAUUGUGAUGGUGACACCCUGGCCACAGGGGCAUUUCCUGUCCCUUAAAAAAAGAAGGAGGUUACCUUUUAAUCUGAUCCAUAUCUGGAGACAGUGUUUGGAUAAAGGUUACUGGAGAAGCCUGGCUGAUUGACGAGAAUAAAUUUCCUGAGACUCUGGCAUAUUGUAGGACUUGGAGAGCUCUAUUGCUGUAGAAAAUGUCAGGACUGUGGAGUGUUGUGACCUUGUUGGUGGUAAACAGAAGACUGUGACCUUGAAUCUGAAGAUCUGUGAUGGAGGAUGUUUGGGGUCACUGCUACAGUACUAUAAAUCUAAUCACAAAGAGGUUGUCUCUGAUGUCCACACAUAAAUCCCAUGGCCAGCGUAAAUCACAGUGAAUGUAGCGGAGGAACUGUCCAUCCUGAUCUAGGAUGUGGAUACGGUCAUUGUCACAGUCUGCUGUCAGGAUGUGACUCUGGCUGUCUGUAGUGAUGCCGACUGGUUUAAAUGAUUGCUUGGUAUUAGAGGGAUGACCAGUGUAUCUAAAUCGGAGUUUUCCUGACUGAUUGACCACCACUACUGCACUAGCUUUAUUGUCAGCCACACAGAUAUCCAGGUUCCUGUUCUCACUGAGGUAUUUAUCACCACCAGAUGAGUAGAGAGGACGACCCUGAUCAUCAAACUGAAUGCUUUGUUUCUCUGUGGAGCCGGAGUAACGCACGACUUUGGAUUGUUUUCCAUCAUCACUGACCAUGGUAACCAGGAGAUGGUUAGAGGCGGUACAGCACACAUAGCCAGGUCUCCACCCCUGUAGUGUGAUCACGGUUGAGUUGAGUGGAAUAAUGAACCUCCAGAUAUCUAUGUACAUGCACACGUGUAUGAUUAAACUGUUGUUACACUCGCGCAAGUGAGCUUAUCCUA